GAGUUCAGUCUUCCCAGGCCCACCACUUUCAUCGAGUGAGCAUUCGUCUUCUGGUUACGGGGCCAUAGCUCAGCUGGGAGAGCGCGUGCUUUGCAAGCAUGAGGUCGUCGGUUCGAUCCCGUCUGGCUCCACCAGAUGGUUUGAUCACCAACGGCGUAACCGUCGUCCGCGAAACAUCACUUCGCACUCAUUGGUCCGGAUGGACGGUGACGUGCGUGUUUUCUGACAUCGUAAAGAGGAGAUCGAUCCGAGUUUGGAUCAAGCGAAGCAAUUCGCCUGAACCAUUCACUAUCUCCGGGAUCAUUUCGGCGCUCGCUUCAUUCGUGAGAUUGAAUGCGGGUUGUAAAUGAUCUCUGUUAGCGAAGCUUGACCGCCUCGCUAUCGGGCCGAUCUUACGAAGCAAGCUGGUCUUUCUAGUCAAUGUCCGGCUGCGCAAUCGCAUUCAUCGAGGAUGCGCGCCUGAGACUUCGGUCUUUGGGCAGUUGUGCAGACAACAUUCUGCCGAGUGUGUGGACAUUGAUAAUGAGAGCAAUCAAGUGCCUUAAGGGUGUUCGGUGGAUGCCUUGGCGCUGAGAGGCGAUGAAGGACGUGCUACGCUGCGAUAAGCCGUGGGGAGCUGCGAAGAAGCUUUGAUCCGCGGAUUUCCGAGUG
rnacentral:misc_RNA from 1 species